rnacentral:rRNA from 1 species
UACGUAGGGGGCAAGCGUUGUCCGGAAUCAUUGGGCGUAAAGCGCGCGUAGGCGGCCCGGUAAGUCCGCUGUAAAAGUCCAGGGCUCAACCCUGGAAAGCCGGUGGAUACUGUCGGGCUAGAGUCCGGAAGAGGCGAGUGGAAUUCCUGGUGUAGAGGUGAAAUUCGUAGAUAUUCGCAAGAACACCAGUGGCGAAGGCGGCUCACUGGUCCGGUACUGACGCUGAGGUGCGAAAGCGUGGGGAGCAAACAGG